UACGGAGGUCUCAAGCGUUGUUCGGAUUUAUUGGGCGUAAAGGGUGCGUAGGCGGCGCGGUAAGUCGGGUGUGAAAUCUCGGAGCUUAACUCCGAAACUGCAUUCGAUACUGCCGUGCUUGAGGACUGGAGAGGAGACUGGAAUUUACGGUGUAGCGGUGAAAUGCGUAGAUAUCAGGAGGAACACCGGUGGCGAAGGCGGGUCUCUGGGCCGAUACUGACGCUGAGGAGCGAAAGCGUGGGGAGCGAACAGG
rnacentral:rRNA from 1 species